rnacentral:rRNA from 1 species
UGAGUAACCUGCCCUUAACUCUGGGAUAAGCCUGGGAAACUGGGUCUAAUACCGGAUAUGACUCCUCAUCGCAUGGUGGGGGGUGGAAAGCUUUUUGUGGUUUUGGAUGGACUCGCGGCCUAUCAGCUUGUUGGUGAGGUAAUGGCUCACCAAGGCGACGACGGGUAGCCGGCCUGAGAGGGUGACCGGCCACACUGGGACUGAGGCACGGCCCAGACUCCUACGGGAGGCAG